GACGAACGCUGGCGGCGUGCCUAAUACAUGCAAGUAGAACGCUGAAGGAGGAGCUUGCUUCUCUGGAUGAGUUGCGAACGGGUGAGUAACGCGUAGGUAACCUGCCUGGUAGCGGGGGAUAACUAUUGGAAACGAUAGCUAAUACCGCAUAAGAGUAGAUGUUGCAUGACAUUUGCUUAAAAGGUGCAAUUGCAUCACUACCAGAUGGACCUGCGUUGUAUUAGCUAGUUGGUGGGGUAACGGCUCACCAAGGCGGCGGUACAUAGCCGACCUGAGAGGGUGGACCGGCACACCUGGACUUGGACACGGCCCAGACCUCUACGGGAAGAAACAGUAGGGAAUCUUCGGCAAUGGGCGGAAGUCUUACCGAGCAACGCCGCGGGAGUGAAGGAAGGUUUCGGAGCGUAAAACUCUGUUGUAAGAGAAGAACGAGUGUGAGAGUGGAAAGUUCACACUGUGACGGUAUCUUACCAGAAAGGGACGGCUAACUACGUG
rnacentral:rRNA from 1 species